rnacentral:lncRNA from 1 species
AUGAAAUCUGGUCAAAGGAUGCUUGGAUCACAGAUAAGACAAGAACCGUCGCCAGAGAAGAGCAGCUGCGUCUGGGCGGGAGGUACAUCUCCCAGCAAGGCCCAGCACAACCCUUCCCCUGAGGCUCGAGCUUCUGGCUGCAGGCCGGAGUCCAGGCUCACAUCAGCCACGAGAGCACCAGCAGGUGUUGAUGCCCGGUGCUUGCGAGCCAGCUGGAGACCGGGGUUCCUAGGAGGGGAGGACCCCAAGGCCUGUACACACCUGCCACCUGAUGGUCUGCUGCCCGAGUGGCCCCGGCCCCGGGGGGGUCCUCCAGAGGUAUGCCCCCCACCACUACCCACUCCACGCAAGGUGGAGGGUAUCUGGGGCUCGGUGCUCAUUGGCGGGCCUGGGGAGCCCCCAUCCUGGCACAGACAUGCUGCUGGCCUGCGAACCCCUGACCUCCCCUCACCGUCCAGGACAGAGGGCAGCCUCCUCAUCCCACCGCAGUCUUACAGGGCCCAAGAGGCUAUGCUCACGAAGCCAGCGACAAAUCCCCGGGUCAGGACUAAGUGGCACUCACCCUGCCGAACACACCUGUCCCCAGGAAGCCCACGCCUGCAGGAACAGGAGGGUCACUCAGUGUCUCUGCACUUAAUGUCUUAAGACAGACUUGCUGCGUAAUGUUCAGCUCCAAAGCAAAUAACCAGCCAUAACCCUGAUGGGGAACCACCUCCCAAGACCAUCCCUGUGCUGGACAGACAGGUGGUCAGCUUCCACUCCGAGCACAGCUGGGAAGGCAGGGCGCUGUGCACAAAUGCCGGGAACGGACGGACAGAAAGUCUCCCUGGGAGGCAGAGCCGUCCCAGUUCCCGGGAGUGCGGGGCCGUGGACUCCAUCUACUCAGCAUUGCUGGGUCCGUCCAUCCGUCCAUCUCUAGAGAGGGCAGGGAGAGAAGAGUGUGGUGCUGUCGCCUGUCCCUGCCCCACACCCAGGCCCCCAGGAAGAAGCAGAGGAGUGAGGGCCUGAUGCUCACCCUCGGCCCUGGAGGAGCAGGCUGGUGAGCGCUUCAACCACGAGACCAUUUCCACCAUCAAAAAGAGCUUGAAGUCUCAGGACAUCAGGCCGCUGAGGGUUCAAGGCUCACUGGACACCCAGGCUUCAAAAAAUUCAAUGGAAUGCUAGUCGUGGAGUGAAAGAAAAAUCUAGAAACAUAACCUGCCCUCAGCUGUCAUAGAAACUUGAUGCGCUAACCGGUAACCUUGGGAGUUAGGUGCCUGGGACCUCGCUUCCAGACACCCUGGGGUGCCCAGGGCUCCAGUUCUGGGCGGGGUGUCUGCAUCAAGCGGGUAGUGGAUGGAACCCAACCAUCUGAGUGGAGCCUGGGUCCCUGCCCACCUC